rnacentral:rRNA from 1 species
GACGAACGCUGGCGGCGUGCUUAACACAUGCAAGUCGAACGGAAAGGCCCUGCUUUUGUGGGGUGCUCGAGUGGCGAACGGGUGAGUAACACGUGAGUAACCUGCCCUUGACUUUGGGAUAACUUCAGGAAACUGGGGCUAAUACCGGAUAGGAGCUCCUGCUGCAUGGUGGGGGUUGGAAAGUUUCGGCGGUUGGGGAUGGACUCGCGGCUUAUCAGCUUGUUGGUGGGGUAGUGGCUUACCAAGGCUUUGACGGGUAGCCGGCCUGAGAGGGUGACCGGCCACAUUGGGACUGAGAUACGGCGCAGUCUCCUACCGGAGGCAGCAGUGGGGAAUAUUGCACAAUGGGGCGAAGCCUGAUGCAGCAACGCCGCGUGCGUGAUGACGGCCUUCGGGUUGUAAACCGCUUUCGCCUGUGACGAAGCGUGAGUGACGGUAAUGGGUAAAGAAGCACCGGCUAACUACGUG